UACGUAGGGUCCGAGCGUUGUCCGGAGUGACUGGGCGUAAAGCGCGCGCAGGCGGCCUGCGAGGUGUCACGUGAAAGCCCCGAGCUUAACUCGGGAGGGUCGUGGCAAACCGGUAGGCUUGAGGCCGGUAGAGGUGGGUGGAACUCCUGGUGGAGUGGUGAAAUGCGUAGAGAUCAGGAAGAACACCCGUGGCGAAGGCGGCCCACUGGGCCGGACCUGACGCUGAGGCGCGAAGGCGUGGGGAGCGAACGGGAUUAGAUACCCCGGUAGUCCACGCAGUAAACGAUGUCGACUCGGUGUGGGCGGUAUUGACCCCGUCCGCGCCAUAGCUAACGCGAGAAGUCGACCGCCUGGGGAGUACGGCCGCAAGGCUAAA
rnacentral:rRNA from 1 species